rnacentral:misc_RNA from 1 species
AAGUCGUAACAAGGUUUCCGUAGGUGAACCUGCGGAAGGAUCAUUACUAGAUCGCUCAUCAUUCUCGUAAUGGUUUGAGCAAGAUCCCAACCACCCUUGUCAAUUGUAUAUCGUCUUUGGUAACUUAUGUGCACCGCCGGCCAAUUUUGAGCCCGGCAGUGGACGUCCUUCUGCCUUGAAUUUUGCAGGGCUUUGGGGGGUUACCGCUGGAUCAAGAGACUCCACUUGAAGAGUGUUGUCUUUGGUUCCAAUCCUUAAUAAAACACCCUUUAUCUGUAUUUAUUUGACUGAAUUUUUAAAACUAUUUUUUAUAACAAAUGGUAUACAACUUUUGGCAACGGAUCUCUUGGCUCUC